GCCCGGAUGGUCUAGUGGUAUGAUUCGCGCUUAGUAUGUCUACCUUCAUCAAACCAAGUUACCUUUCCAAUUUACUAACAACUUCUCCAGGGGUUAACCCAAAGCAUUGACUGCGCGAGGUCCCCGGUUCGAUCCCGGGUUCGGGCC
rnacentral:tRNA from 1 species